CUUUCUCCCCCCUUUCCUGGAGAGGAACUGUUCAGGUGGGGGAAAUAUGAUAUAAAUUCUUUAAAAACAGCAGAACCACCUCCCUUUGGCCCCGCGCAGCCGUCGCCUCGGCGCUUUGGGGUCGGUUUACGC
rfam:Ailuropoda melanoleuca scaffold2250_177, whole genome shotgun sequence.